CCUCCAACACCCACGUAUACGUAUAAAGAUGGAGAGGUUUGUUGCUGUCUGGUUGUUGAUUUCUUCUCUUGUUGUAUUAUGGGAUACUGGUUAUGUGUUAUUCCGCCCACGGUCAAUGCCAGGGGGAGAUUUACACUGGCUCUGGACCCCGUAUUCACUAUAUUCUUCGAUUGAUAAAAAAUAUGGAGACUUGGGAGAUGAUUUCGUAUAUGGACAAUCAUGGUGCAAUGUGUU